rnacentral:rRNA from 1 species
UGGGGAAUAUUGGACAAUGGGGGAAACCCUGAUCCGGCAAUGCCGCGUGAGUGAAGAAGGCCUUAGGGUUGUAAAGCUCUUUUGGCAGGGACGAUAAUGACGGUACCUGCAAAAUAAGCCCCGGCAAACUUCGUGCAAGCAGCCGCGGUAAUACGAAGGGGGCUAGCGUUGCCCGGAUUUACUGGGCGUAAAGCGCACGAAGGCGGAUUGUUAAGUCAGGGGUGAAAUCCCGGAGCUCAACUCCGGAACUGCCUUUGAUACUGGCAAUCUUGAGGCUGGAAGAGGUUGGUAGAAUUCCCAGUGUAGAGGUGAAAUUCGUAGAUAUUGGGAAGAAUACCAGUGGCGAAGGCGGCCAACUGGUCCAGAUCUGACGCUGAGGUGCGAAAGCGUGGGGAGCAAACA